rnacentral:rRNA from 1 species
GAUGAACGCUGGCGGCGUGCUUAACACAUGCAAGUCGAACGGUGAACCCGGAGCUUGCUCUGUGGGAUCAGUGGCGAACGGGUGAGUAACACGUGAGCAACCUGCCCCUGACUCUGGGAUAAGCGCUGGAAACGGCGUCUAAUACUGGAUAUGUGACGUGACCGCAUGGUCUGCGUUUGGAAAGAUUUUUCGGUUGGGGAUGGUCUCGCGGCCUAUCAGCUUGUUGGUGAGGUAAUGGCUCACCAAGGCGUCGACGGGUAGCCGGCCUGAGAGGGUGACCGGCCACACUGGGACUGAGACACGGCCCAGACUCCUACGGGAGGCAGCAGUGGGGAAUAUUGCACAAUGGGCGCAAGCCUGAUGCAGCAACGCCGCGUGAGGGAUGACGGCCUUCGGGUUGUAAACCUCUUUUAGCAGGGAAGAAGCGAAAGUGACGGUACCUGCAGAAAAAGCGCCGGCUAACUACGUG